ACGCACGCUGGCGGCGUGCUUCACACAUGCAAGUCGAACGGUGAAGCGCCUUCCUUUUUGGUGGGUGUGGAUGAGUGGCGAACGGGUGAGUAACACGUGAGUAACCUGCCCCCUUCUUCUGGAUAACCGCAUGAAAGUGUGGCUAAUACGGGAUAUUCUGGGUCUGUCGCAUGAUGGGUCUGGGAAAGAUAUUGUUUCGGUGGGGGAUGGGCUCGCGGCUUAUCAGCUUGUUGGUGGGGUGAUGGCCUACCAAGGCGGUGACGGGUAGCCGGCCUGAGAGGGUGGACGGUCACACUGGGACUGAGACACGGCCCAGACUCCUACGGGAGGCAGCAGUGGGGAAUACUGCACAAUGGGCGCAAGCCUGAUGCAGCGACGCCGCGUGAGGGAUGGAGGCCUGCGGGUUGUGAACCUCUUUCGCCAGUGAAGCAGGCCUGCCUCGUUUGUGGGUGGGUUGACGGUAGCUGGAGAAGAAGCGCCGGCUAACUACGUG
rnacentral:rRNA from 1 species